AACGAACGCUGGCGGCAUGCCUAACACAUGCAAGUCGAACGAGACCUUCGGGUCUAGUGGCGCACGGGUGCGUAACGCGUGGGAACCUGCCCUUAGGUUCGGAAUAACUCCCCGAAAGGGGUGCUCAUACCGGAUAAUGUCUUCGGACCAAAGAGUUAUCGCCUUUGGAUGGGCCCGCGUUGGAUUAGCUGGUUGGUAGGGUAAAAGCCUACCAAGGCGACGAUCCAUAGCUGGUCUGAGAGGAUGAUCAGCCACACUGGGACUGAGACACGGCCCAGACUCCUACGGAAGGCAGCAGUGGGGAAUAUUGGACAAUGGGCGAUAGCCUGAUCCAGCAAUGCCGCGUGAGUGAUGAAGGCCUUAGGGUUGUAAAGCUCUUUUACCCGGGAUGAUAAUGACAGUACCGGGAGAAUAAGCUCCGGCUAACUCCGUG
rnacentral:rRNA from 1 species